CUUGCUUUGAGUUCUAGGCGGGCCUCUUUCCAGAGAGGUUUCUUAGGUCUAUUUUGGACCUAUCGAAGAUGAUGAAACCAACACAGAAGAAAGGAGCUCUGAGAUGAUUGCAGAGAUGGAAAUGAAGUCUGAUGAUAUUGAGCAUCCAGCCACAGACACCCGGGCUAGACUUUGCAGUCACUUGACCCAACACAUGAAGGAGACAUGCUUUUGUCCACCCGGAGGCCUGUACAGAAUCAUUCAUCCUGCAUCAUUCUGAGUAAUCACCAUGGGAAACGACACAGGCAAGAUGUCAGCAGCUCUCUUUGUCGUGAAUGCAUUUCCCAGAAUCUGGCCUGAUGGAUACAAAAAGAAAAUCUGAUCCUCGUUCAAGAAGAUGUGCACCUCACCCCCAGAAGUGGGUCAGAAAAAUGGGCAUCCUGCCAUACCCCAAAGUGCACCCUACAAAUGAGUCAACUGAAGGUCCUUUGGAAAUGAAGUCGUUAAGUAGAUUGAAGAAUAAUGAUUGACGUUUAUUCAGCAUACUAUAUGUUUCCCUCCGCUGAAAAGCCAAGGGCUGUGUCUUUCCUGUCUUCUCUGCUCCUCUCCUUUGCCUUCCUUCGUCCACCAGGCAGGUGGCCCUGCGGCAGCUCUGUCCAUGCUUAUUUACCAACCACAUCCAUGCAGCCUGUCUCCUUGCCCAAGUCAGCCAAGCCUCCCUGAGGGCCUAUUGGAGGAGCUCCCUCAUGACAGAGCAGAGGAAGAAACCCUAUCUAACACCAAGACUCACCAAGAGAACAAAAGAACUAUGCAGGCAGUAUACAGCAUGAUCUGACCCGCAUAGCGUCUUCUUUUCUGUAUUUGCAGGUGGCCUCAAGAACCAGCGAAAAGGGUGGCCUCAGGGGUAACUGAAAAUGGUACAUACUCUGGAAUCAGUCGUUUGCUUGGGGAAAAAUUGCUGAUGAUAAGGAAGGUGGGCUUUGUUUGCUGGCUUUCAUCUGGAGAGCCGCCCUGAUUCUGAAUUCCUGCUGGGAACAAGGGCUGAGGAUGUGAUGAAAGAAGCUGAUUUCCCAGACAAAGAACCAUGGCUGUUUUUCCAGAAGCAGUUUCAUUGCCUUUAAGUGGUGACAGAUUGUGUGCAUUAACAGUGGGCUGUUGUUUGUGUGAUCUGGGUGGUGUGAUUCUGAGUGUGCAUGUGCGCAUGUGUGUGUCUGUGUGUGUGUUUCCCUAGAUUGCCUCCAGCAAGGCAACUGCCAGUGUCAGCUUCUAAAUGAGAAAUCCCAUCGCUACUGUUUCACGUGAUUAUAUGUGUUUCAAAAUGUAUCCAAUGGUACACUUAAAAUGUGUGCAGUUCUUGUAUGGCAGGAACACCUCAAUAAGCUCAGGGGAAAAAUCCCAUCACCAGCUAGGCAAAUGUUCAUAGGGUGCCAAGUGGACAAAAGUGUGUUUCAGAUUCACUGUGAUUGAGUCAAUAACAACUUCUAUUAAUAAUUCUCACCUCCGUCCAGCCCUUUAUAGUCCCUUCAGGCAGUUUGAUUGGUGGUGAAUGAACAGCAGCCAUCAUUGUCCUUAUUUCACAUAAGAGAAAACAGAGGCUGGAGAAGGUGGAUGAAUUAUGGGGGGUCGCAAAGCCCACGGGUGGGGAACUGGGUGAGGCAGUCUGGAGCCUUCGAUCCAGAGCCUCUGCACUUUCUCCCACACGUCUGCUGCCUGGGAGAGACUGCACUUCUCCUUUGAGUUUGGCACCAAUUAUGAUUUUAAUCCUUGUUCCUAAGCCUCUUUGUGUGGGAUGCUCGCUGGACCUGAGAUGCAGCGACCCCAGCCCUUGAUCCCUCAGAUACUUUAGUAUUAAAUGGAUAUUUCCCCCAAUGAUGCUUCAUUCCUGCUUCUUCCCUUCUUCCCCCAAACCUUUAGAUUACAAGUGGUCUCAGCAUUAAACCUCCCCCACCUCGGCUAGGGUGCUGGGGCACGGUUCCUUCCUUUUGCAGGAGCCCUGGGGGGAACCCACAUGUCACUCCCGGUUCUGAAGAAAUCUGAGAAAG